GGGGAAUUUUCCGCAAUGGGCGAAAGCCUGACGGAGCAAUACCGCGUGAGGGAUGACUGCCUAUGGGUUGUAAACCUCUUUUUUCAGGGAGGAAGAAAUGACGUGUACCUGAAGAAUAAGCAUCGGCUAACUC
rnacentral:rRNA from 1 species